UGACUGCGAGUAAACUGACACUCUAACUGCAGAGCACGAGCACUAGCGGCUCUAAUUACAAAACUACCGUUCUUUCUCGCUAAGCCAAUUCCAUUAGUUACCAUAUAAUAUUUCCGUUGAGAUAGCUGGGGACAAAGAGCUCCUCAGAUAGGACAUAGCCAUUUGCAACAGUUCGUUCCUGGGCCGUUUAGCAAUCGUGUUAAAUCGAAUGGACUCACAUGUAAUUGAAGGACACGUUGGCAUGAUUUGACUUUUGUUAAGUUAUCGCCUUAUUCGACAUAAAGCUAAGUCUGUGCACAUGGGCACGGGAAGGUAAUGAAGUGAUCAUGAGAUGGGCGAUCGUUUUUUGAAGACUCUGAUGAACGAAAUUCGUCAAAUGAUUAUUAGAUGAACAAUCUUUUUUACUGACUCUGAAAAAAAUUUGGCAACUACAGCUCCUUUGAAUCAAACAAAAAGGGAAACAGGUAACACGAGAACAUCAGCACAGACACCAUGGAAACCACAGAAUCGGAUAUCGUUUUGACAACCACAGGGCUUCGAAAGCCAUAUUCUGCAUACGAGAUAUUUUUAAUGCUAACCUUAAGACUCGUCGUUACCAUCCCUGGCAUUAUCGGAAACGCACUUUGUUUAGCUGUAUUCAGGCGCCAAAAGAGGUCGUCGUCGGCGUAUUUCUUCCUCCGGGCCUUGGCUGUGUGUGAUAUCAUGUACAUCUUCUUCUAUUUUGUACUGGAUGUGCCGGAUCGUGUGAUGGCUCAAGUGAAGGGAGUUCCGCUCCAUGGUGUGUAUAAAUCCUUGGAGAGCUAUGUCAUUCUCAUGUUUCCAAUCGUCAAUGUUUUGGAGAUGUGGAAUGUUUACGUCGUUGUCGCAGUAUCCAUAGACAGGUACAUCCAUAUAUGUAUGCCACUGAAAGCAAAGUCGAUGGACACGCGCAAGUAUGCAAAGAUUGCCGUUAUUGGGACAUUC